UACGUAGGUGACAAGCGUUGUCCGGAUUUACUGGGCGUAAAGAGCGCGCAGGCGGUCGUUCAAGUCGAGUGUGAAAGCCCCCGGCUCAACUGGGGAGGGUCAUUCGAUACUGAUCGACUCGAAGGCAGGAGGAGGGAAGUGGAAUUCCCGGGUGUAGUGGUGAAAUGCGAUGAGAUAUCGGGAAGAACACCCGUGGCGAAGGCGGCUCUCUGGGACGGUACUGACGCUGAGGCGCGAAAGCCAGGGGAGCAAACGGG
rnacentral:rRNA from 1 species